AAUUAGCUUAUUUAGCAUAUUGAUGCAAUGAAUGCAGGAGGCAGGAUUUGCGCGGCCACUGCCUCGUUACUGAGUUGUUAGAUGGUACUUUUCUCCGGUACGAGGCGUGACAGUAGAAUGUAUGCACCGGUCCUCAACGCGCUGCUCAAAUUCAGCCCUAAACUUUUAGCAUGAAAAUAAGAGCUAUCCUAUCUCAUGGUUGUCUUCUCUCCUGCUGGUCAGAAAAGUUCCUUCGGAUCAAGCGAGGGGACUACCAUCUCCUCACAAUCGAUGAAGGGUCCUUACUUUCUUUGUGACCCCUCCAGGGUGACUUUGGCCCCGGAGGACCUCCUGGCAGAUAAGAAUCAGCUGGAUUUCACGGAGCCCCGCUAGUCCAACACCGUCUCGGUGUGACGUCAACCGGAAGUCCGGAAAACUUUCUGUUUUAAUUAAGUGAAAACCACAGGAACCUUCAAAGUCGGUUUUCACCAGAUCUGUGCCAAUAUGAUAUUUCCAAUAAAGCUAUUCUUUGAGGAA